rnacentral:rRNA from 1 species
AACGCGAAGAACCUUACCUGGGCUCGAAAUGCAGAGGGAGAUGCCAGAAAUGGCUUCGUCCGUAAGGACUUCUGUAUAGGUGCUGCAUGGCUGUCGUCAGCUCGUGCCGUGAGGUGUUUGGUUAAGUCCAGCAACGAGCGCAACCCUUAUCAUUAGUUGCCAACACGUAAGGUGGGGACUCUAAUGAGACUGCCUAGGUUAACUAGGAGGAAGGUGAGGAUGAUGUCAAGUCCGCAUGGCCUUUAUGUCCAGGGCUACACACGUGCUACAAUGGUCGGUACAGAGGGCUGCAAGACCGUAAGGUGGAGCAAAUCCCAGAAAGCCGAUCUCAGUUCAGAUUGUGGACUGCAACUCGUCCACAUGAAGUCGGAAUUGCUAGUAAUGGCGUGUCAGCAACAACGCCGUGAAUACGUUCCCGGGCCUUGUA